UACGUAGGGUGCAAGCGUUAAUCGGAAUUACUGGGCGUAAAGCGUGCGCAGGCGGUUGUUCAAGACAGAUGUGAAAUCCCCGGGCUUAACCUGGGAAUUGCAUUUGUGACUGUACGGCUAGAGUGUGUCAGAGGGGGGUAGAAUUCCACGUGUAGCAGUGAAAUGCGUAGAGAUGUGGAGGAAUACCGAUGGCGAAGGCAGCCCCCUGGGAUAACACUGACGCUCAUGCACGAAAGCGUGGGGAGCAAACAGG
rnacentral:rRNA from 1 species